rnacentral:rRNA from 1 species
AAUUGCUAGUAAUCGCGGAUCAGCAUGCCGCGGUGAAUACGUUCCCGGGCCUUGUACACACCGCCCGUCACACCAUGAGAGUCGGGAACACCCGAAGUCCGUAGCCUAACCGCAAGGGGGGCGCGGCCGAAGGUGGGUUCGAUAAUUGGGGUGAAGUCGUAACAAGGUAGC